rnacentral:pre_miRNA from 1 species
GGCUGUCGACCGGACCCUCUAACAGUGGAGGUGUUAUGCUAAGUGGUGGGCCAAAAAUGCUAAAAACAUUUCCUUGGUGGAUUAGGCGCUGCAGUCAAACUCUGUAAACCCCUUUGGGUUUUCCUUGGAGUAGGGAGACAAAACACGGGUCUAAAACCGAGCAUAGACACCCGGGCACAAUACCUCCAUUGUUUGAGGGUCCGAUCAGCUGCUC